rnacentral:rRNA from 1 species
UGCCAGCCGCCGCGGUAAUACGUAGGGGGCAAGCGUUGUCCGGAUUCACUGGGCGUAAAGCGCGCGCAGGCGGUGAUGUAAGUCUGAGGUGAAAACCCGAAGCUCAACUUCGGGACUGCCUUGGAUACUGCGUCACUUGAGGAUAGGAGAGGCAAGGGGAAUUCCACGUGUAGCGGUGAAAUGCGUAGAGAUGUGGAGGAACACCUGUGGCGAAGGCGCCUUGCUGGCCUAUUUCUGACGCUGAGGCGCGAAAGCGUGGGGAGCAAACAGGAUUAGAUA